UACGUAGGGGGCUAGCGUUGUCCGGAAUCAUUGGGCGUAAAGAGCGUGUAGGCGGCCCGGUAAGUCCGCUGUGAAAGUCGGGGCUCAACCCUCGAAUGCCGGUGGAUACUGUCGGGCUAGAGUGCGGAAGAGGCGAGUGGAAUUCCUGGUGUAGCGGUGAAAUGCGCAGAUAUCAGGAGGAACACCGAUGGCGAAGGCAGCUCGCUGGGACGGUACUGACGCUGAGGCGCGAAAGCGUGGGGAGCAAACGGG
rnacentral:rRNA from 1 species